AGUGCUUGCACUCUGUGAAACAAGAUACAGGCUAGCGGCGGACGGGUGAGUAACACGUGGGUAACCUGCCCAAGAGAUCGGGAUAACACCUGGAAACAGAUGCUAAUACCGGAUAACAACAGAUGAUGCCUAUCAACUGUUUAAAAGAUGGUUCUGCUAUCACUCUUGGAUGGACCUGCGGUGCAUUAGCUAGUUGGUAGGGUAACGGCCUACCAAGGCGAUGAUGCAUAGCCGAGUUGAGAGACUGAUCGGCCACAUUGGGACUGAGACACGGCCCAAACUCCUACGGGAGGCAGCAGUAGGGAAUCUUCCACAAUGGACGCAAGUCUGAUGGAGCAACGCCGCGUGAGUGAAGAAGGGUUUCGGCUCGUAAAGCUCUGUUGUUGGUGAAGAAGGACAGGGGUAGUAACUGACCUUUGUUUGACGGUAAUCAAUUAGAAAGUCACGGCUAACUACGUGCCAGCAGCCGCGGUAAUACGUAGGUGGCAAGCGUUGUCCGGAUUUAUUGGGCGUAAAGCGAGUGCAGGCGGCUCGAUAAGUCUGAUGUGAAAGCCUUCGGCUCAACCGGAGAAUUGCAUCAGAAACUGUCGAGCUUGAGUACAGAAGAGGAGAGUGG
rnacentral:rRNA from 1 species